CCGCCUUAGCCGAGGAUGCUGAGGAUGAAGCUGCCGCUGAAGCCGACGCACCCCGCGGAGCCGCCGCCCGAGGCGGAGGAGCCCGAGGCGGACGCGCGGCCGGGCGCGAAGGCGCCGCCGCGCCGCCGCCGCGACUGCCGCCCCCCGCCGCCACCGCCGCCGCUCUCGGGCCAGCCGCGAGGUCCCCCGCCGCCGCCGCCGCCGCCCCGGGGGCUCGGGCCGCCUGUUGCUGGCGGAGCGGCGGCGGGGGCGAGCAUGCCGGGCGGCGGCGGAGGCGGCGGCGGGCCCGCGGCGGCGCUGCGUGAGCAGGAGCGGGUGUACGAGUGGUUCGGGCUGGUGCUGGGCUCGGCGCAGCGCCUGGAGUUCAUGUGCGGGCUGCUGGACCUGUGCAACCCACUGGAGCUGCGCUUCCUCGGCUCGUGCCUGGAGGACCUGGCGCGCAAGGACUACCACUAUCUGCGCGACUCGGAGGCCAAGGCCAACGGCCUCUCGGACCCAGGGCCACUUGCCGACUUCCGAGAGCCUGCCGUGCGCUCGCGCCUCAUCGUUUACCUGGCGUUGCUGGGCUCGGAGAACCGUGAGGCCGCCAGCCGCCUGCACCGCCUCCUGCCCCAGGUGGACUCGGUGCUCAAGAGCCUGCGCGCGGCCCGGGGCGAAGGCUCGCGGGGCGGCGCGGAGGACGAGCCCGGCGAGCGCGGCCAAGACGGCGAAGGCGAGGAGGACGCCGAGAAGGACGGCUCCGGCCCGGAAGGUAGUGGCGCCGAGCCGUGGCCCGGCGGCGGGCUGGGCUUCAGGGCCCAGGAGGAACUGCUGCUGCUCUUCACCAUGGCUUCGCUGCACCCGGCCUUCUCCUUCCACCAGCGGGUCACCCUGAGGGAGCACCUGGAGAGGCUCCGCGCGGCGCUCCGCGGGGGCCCCGAGGACGCGGAGGUGGAGGCGGAGCCGUGCAACUUUGCUGGCCCCCGGGCCCAGAAUAACUCUACUCAUGGUGAUUUUAUGCAAAGUAACGAGGCCAGUUUAAUAGAACAAGCCCCAAUACCUCAUGACGGACUCACUGUGGCACCUCAUAGAACCCAGCGAGAAGCUGUACACAUUGAGAAGAUAAUGUUGAAAGGAGUCCAGAGAAAAAGGGCUGACAAAAAUUGGGAGUACACCUUCAAAGUAAAUUGGUCUGAUCUUUCAGUCACAACAGUAACAAAAACCCACCAAGAACUUCAGGAAUUUCUGCUGAAGCUUCCAAAGGAAUUGUCCUCAGAGACUUUUGACAAGACCAUCUUGAGAGCCCUGAAUCAGGGAUCAUUGAAGAGGGAGGAACGACGACACCCUGACCUGGAGCCCAUCCUGAGGCAGCUAUUUUCAACUUCAUCACAAGCUUUUCUACAGAGUCAGAAAGUACACAGCUUUUUUCAGUCCAUAUCGUCAGACCCUCUGCACAGCCUCAAUAACUUACAAUCCUCUCUGAAGACUUCUAAGAUAUUAGAACACUUAAAAGAAGACAGCUCAGAAGCUUCAAGUCAAGAUGAAGAUGUGUUACAGCACACCAUAGUCCACAAGAAACACACCGGGAAAAGUCCCAUUGUAAACACUGUUGGUACAAGUUGUUCUCCGUUGGAUGGGCUCACCAUGCAGUAUUCUGAACAGAAUGGAAUCGUAGAUUGGAGGAAGCAGACCUGCACCACCGUUCAGCACCCGGAGCACUGCGUGGCCUUGGCCGACCAGCAUUCAACUGAAAAACGAAGCUUAUCUUCAAUAAAUAAGAAGAAAGGGAAGCCACAAAUAGAAAAGGAGAAAAUUAAGAAAACUGACAGCAGAUUAAACAGUAGAAUAAAUGGUAUCCGGCUCCCCACCCCCCAGCACGCCCACGGUGGUUCUGUGAAAGAUGUGAAUUUGGACAUUGGGUCUGGACAUGACACAUGUGGAGAAACAUCCUCAGAGAGUUACAGUUCUCCGUCUAGCCCACGACAUGAUGGAAGAGAAAGUUUUGAAAGUGAAGAAGAAAAAGACAGAGACACAGACAGCAAUUCUGAGGACUCUGGGAAUCCAUCAGCAACCAGGUUUACAGGUUAUGGUUCUGUCAACCAGGCUGUCACUGUCAAGCCACCUGUUCAUAUUGCUUCGCUAGGAAAUGACAGCGCAAACCUUUUAGAAGAUCCCUUAAACUCGCCCAAGUAUCAGCCAAUUUCCCUUCUGCCAGCUUUACAGUAUGUCAUGCAAAACGGUGCCCAGAAGUCUGAGGUGGUCGUUCCUCCUCCCAAAUCUGCUGACGGCAAAACUAUAGGGAUGCUUGUUCCCAGCCCUUUCUCUGCAGUGAAGGAGUCCGCAAAUUCAACCCCUGUCGGAAUACUCGGGACAGCAGCUUCUACUGGAGAAUCAGAAAAACACCUUGAGCUGCUGGCUUCCCCGUUACCUCUUCCGUCAACGUUCCUCCCACACAGCAGCGCUCCUGCUUUGCACCUCACAAUUCAGAGGCUCAAGUUGCCGCCGCAGCAGGGAUCUUCCGAGAGUUGCACAGUUAACAUCCCACAGCAACCAGCCGGGAACCUGAGCAUCGGAUCACCAAACACUGCCUUUAUUCCCGUCCACAGCCCGGCUAGUUUUCCAGGAUCUCCUGUCGCUACCACGGACCCCAUCACAAAACCCGCAUCCCAAGUGGUAGGACUCAAUCAAAUGGUGCCUCAAAUUGAGGGAAGCACAGGGGCCGUCCCUCAGCCUACCAAUGUGAAGGUCGUUCUCCCAGCAGCCGGCCUCUCCACCGCACAGCCACCAGCUCCCUACACCUUGCCAGGCUCCCCCCUCGCUGCCGGCGUGCUCCCCAGCCAGAGCUCUGGCGUGCUCAGCCCCGCAGCGACAUCUGCCCAGUCGGCGGGUGCGGGCAUCAGCCAGGCCCAGUCCAGCGUCCCUCCUGCGGUCCCCACCCACACCCCCGGCCCCGCCCCGAGCCCCAGCCCCGCUCUGACACACAGCACAGCGCAGAGCGACAGCACGCCCUACAUCAGUGCCGUGGGGAACACGAGCGCCAGCGGGACGGUGCUGCCGCCACAGCAGAUGGGCUCGGGUCCUUGCGGGUCCUGUGGGCGAAGGUGCAGCUGUGGGACCAAUGGAAACCUUCAGCUAAACAGUUACUACUAUCCCAGCCCGGUGCCCGGACCAAUGUACCGGGUCCCGUCUUUCUUCACCCUGCCGUCCAUCUGCAAUGGCAGCUACCUCAACCAAGCACAUCAGAGCAACGGAAACCAACUUCCUUUUUUUCUGCCUCAGACUCCGUAUGCAAACGGACUGGUGCAUGACCCAGUCAUGGGGAGCCAAGCCAACUACGGCAUGCAGCAGAUGGGAGGCUUUGGGAGAUUCUACCCUGUGUAUCCAGCAGCCAGUGUAGUUGCCAACACGAGCGGUUCAGGGCCCAAGAAGAACGGGAAUGUCUCCUGUUACAACUGUGGUGUGAGCGGACACUAUGCGCAGGAGUGUAAGCAGUCGUCCAUGGAGGCCAGUCAACAAGGCACUUACAGACUGAGAUACGCACCUCCCCUACCCCCUCCUAGUGAUACGUUGGAUUCUGCAGACUGAAACAAGCAAAGCUUGCCUCCUUAAUACACUGAAGUGUGGGGAGUCCUGGUGGGGUGUGGAGGGGAGGAAAGGAAAGGCAGCAUCUAGCACUUAGGAGCACCAUCCACCUGAGCCUGGAAGACAGCUUUUUCAAUCCUACAUACUGAUUACAAAAGCAUUCUAAGGUUAAGGCAGUGAAACCAAAUGGAGCUGCAACUUGAAUCACUGUAAAAGGGCUCAGCCAGCGUCUCAUCAAAAGAAAUUGCUAAUUGGGCAGCACCGCCACCUGGUGGGGGACGAGGGCAAUGCAAGCAAGCAGAUGUUACUGCCCACUGACCUAAUUUAGAGAAAACUGAACAGAAGACAGAAAACAUUUGAGAUUGUAAGCCUGUGCCCAGAACCUUAAAGAGUGCAGGCAUCUGGCCAUAAAAGUACUUUGAGCAGUCUCCUCUUUCAGCCACUGCAAUCUCAGUUUGUUACACACAUCUUAAAUGAACGGAUGGUACUUUACAGUUUCCUUUGCACUCUCCUCGGUGCUCAUUGCUCAGCACGACUGUGAAGGGUGUGGGAUCUUCCUCCUCCCUGUUUUACAGAUUAGUAACUCGCGGUUCAGAGGGGUUCAGUGCCAGUGAUGAAGGCCAGGCCCCAACUUCAGGUUAGUGCUUACCUCCCGCAGCACUUCGGCCCCGCCAAGUGCUUCUCUGCUGAACCCAGGGCCCUGACCUUUUAAACCCUAUAAAGCCUAUAGAAAAUGAUAGGCACCCAUGGUCUUAGCAGCCACGGGGCCUCUGGAUUCCUGAGGGAGGACCGGGCCAGGUCCCGGUUGAUCAGAAUUGUAUAUCCGUCGAAGGAUUUGAAAACACGAGGUGAGGGAAAGUCUGCAGAGCUGGGAAACGUCAGGACUCCCAGAGCUAGGCUGUGAGCAUUUGCCUGUCUCAACUCCGCCUACACCCAAGGUUUUAAACAUUCCAGAACACGAAGUUUUGCUCUGCAAAGAUUUUUAUUAUCCCCAGAUGUCUUGGUAAAUUGAGCAUUUAGUGAAUAUUCCAUUAAUUUUAAGACUUCAGAACUUAAGAAAUGAAGUAGCAGGACCAGCAGAAAAGACACUUAACUGCCAGUAUUUUUAUAGCUCUGACAUUUGCAUACAGAUUGUCCCAGGCACUCCCUCUCCCAGCCUCUGCUACUCAAAGACACUCAAAAGCCAAGAAUGACAGCAGCACAGUCACCUUCAAGCAGGAACAGUGACAGUCACACCCACCCCAAAAGCCUUUCAGAGUGCUCAGAAUGCCACCAGGUCACCUAGUAGUUACUUAGUGCCCAUUCUUGCCAGCAUGUCAGUGUUGGGUCAUAUUUGUGACAUGGUAACUCAAUUGUGUACAAUGUGGUACCAACAAAGCCUUGUUCCCAGCACCUACCCACAGGACGUGUGACCUCUCUAGGUUAAUUCACAGAGCGGGGACAACAUUCACCUUGUUAGAAGAGUUACAAGGAUUAAAUCUUCCAAAAUCCAUAAAGCACUAUGUCUGACACAUAGUAGGUGCUCAGUAAAUUCAUGAUGGCAGCAAACACCUUAAUGCCACUCACAGGCCAGACACAGUUCAGCCUCAACUGUGUGAGAUGGGUACUCCGCCCCAUUUUACAGUUGGGGAAAUUGAGGCACAAAGUCUGACUACGUGUCUGAGGACCCAGAGCAAUUGAGCGACAGGGCUGGGAUCGGACCCCGCUGCUCUUAGCCCCUGGCCCCAGGAUGUUACACAAGCCCUGCGCUGGGCGGGGUGGCGGGACCUGGGCUGGCUCUGCCUUGCACUCUGUCGCCUUGAAUAAUGGCCCUGAAAAGCUGGUAGAACCAGAGAUAAAUGACCUCAAAAUCCUGUGACUUGAAGCUUGCUUUCUCACUUGAAAUGAUUUAUCAGGUUUUUAUUCUUCUUUACCUUUAACACAUAUUUGGUUUAACUGAUUUGAAGUCUUUUUUGGGUGUGUUGGGAACAGAGACCCAGACCAUAUGCUGAUGGGAGGGGAACUGUUUUCAGGUCCUUAGGAAUAGGGAACACCCCACCCCCACCCCCCACCCCAUCCCAGGUUUUAAACAUACAUCACUAUCACCUGUUGGAGCAUGUUGGGCUGUGGGGCCGGCCGGACACUAGGUGGCAGCACCGAGUCCUGACCGUCCAUCCCCUGAGAAGCAGGGGCUCUCACAUCAGGUCUCUAGGCUCUUCUCUACUUGUACUGAUCAAGUUUUCAUUUGGGGGCCUUUCAGCCAAAAAAUAAAGCUCACAUACCGAGGCCUGUGCUGAAAGACACGUGGUCAGCCAUAGCUCACAGGCAGGCAAAAAGUAGGGAUCAGCACACUAGGACCCACAGCUGAGAAUGGUUUUUACAUCUUUAAAUGAUUGAAAAGUAAUUUUUCAUGACACACACAAGUUAUAUGAAAUUCACAUGUCAGUGUCCAUAAAUAAAGUUGAUCAGAACACA